CCUACGGGAGGCAGCAGUGAGGAAUAUUGGUCAAUGGACGAGAGUCUGAACCAGCCAAGUAGCGUGAAGGAUGACUGCCCUAUGGGUUGUAAACUUCUUUUAUAUGGGAAUAAACUGUUCCACGUGUGGGAUUUUGUAUGUACCAUAUGAAUAAGGAUCGGCUAACUCCGUGCCAGCAGCCGCGGUAAUACGGAGGAUCCGAGCGUUAUCCGGAUUUAUUGGGUUUAAAGGGAGCUUAGGUGGAUUGUUAAGUCAGUUGUGAAAGUUUGCGGCUCAACCGUAAAAUUGCAGUUGAAACUGGCAGUCUUGAGUACAGUAGAGGUGGGCAGAAUUCGUGGUGUAGCGGUGAAAUGCUUAGAUAUCACGAAGAACUCCGAUUGCGAAGGCAGUUCACUGGACUGCAACUGACACUGAGGCUCGAAAGUGUGGGUAUCAAACAGGAUUAGAUACCCUAGUAGUC
rnacentral:rRNA from 1 species